UUGAUCAUGGCUCAGAAUUGAACGCUGGCGUGCAAAGCCUAACACAUGCAAGUCGAGCGGCAGCACAAGGGAGUUUACUCCUGAGUGUGGCGAGCGGCGGACGGGUGAGUAAUGCCUAGUGGAUCUGCCCAGUCGAGGGGGAUAACAGUUGGAAACGACUGCUAAUACCGCAUACGCCCUACGGGGGAAAGAGGGGGACCUUCGGGCCUCUCGCGAUUGGAUGAACCUAGGUGGGAUUAGCUAGUUGAUGAGGUAAUGGCUCACCAAGGCGACGAUCCCUAGCUGUUCUGAGAGGAUGAUCAGCCACACUGGG
rnacentral:rRNA from 1 species